GAUGUUCUAACGUCGACCCCUUAUCGGGGUUGCGGACAGUGCCUGGUGGGUAGUUUGACUGGGGCGGUCUCCUCCCAAAGAGUAACGGAGGAGCACGAAGGUGGGCUAAUCACGGUUGGACAUCGUGAGGUUAGUGCAAUGGCAUAAGCCCGCUUGACUGCGAGAAUGACAAUUCGAGCAGGUGCGAAAGCAGGUCAUAGUGAUCCGGUGGUUCUGAAUGGAAGGGCCAUCGCUCAACGGAUAAAAGGUACUCCGGGGAUAACAGGCUGAUACCGCCCAAGAGUUCAUAUCGACGGCGGUGUUUGGCACCUCGAUGUCGGCUCAUCACAUCCUGGGGCUGAAGUCGGUCCCAAGGGUAUGGCUGUUCGCCAUUUAAAGUGGUACGCGAGCUGGGUUUAGAACGUCGUGAGACAGUUCGGUCCCUAUCUGCCGUGGGCGUUGGAAGAUUGAAGGGGGCUGCU
rnacentral:rRNA from 1 species